CAGCUCUCCGAGUAGUGUGGAUGUUUAUUGGGCCGAAAGCAUCCGUAGCUUGCUAUGCAAGUCCCUUGUUAAAUCCACCGAUUUAAUCGUUGGAUUGCGGGGGAUACUGUUUGGCUAGGGGACGGGAGAGGCCGACGGUAUUUCCGGGGUAGGGUGAAAUCCUAUAAUCCCGGGAGGACCACCAGUGGCGAAGGCUGUCGGCUAGAACGCGCCCGACGGUGAGGGAUGAAAGCUGGGGAGCGAACCGGAUUAGAUACCCGGGUAGUCCCAGCUGUAAACGAUGCAGGCUAGGUGUUUGGGCGGCCACGAGCCGCCCCUAGUGCCGCAGGGAAGCUGUUAAGCCUGCCGCCUGGGGAGUACGGCCGCAAGGCUG
rnacentral:rRNA from 1 species